rnacentral:lncRNA from 1 species
UUAGGUAUGUCGACGACGAAGAAAUGCUGUAAAGCUGCAUGGGAAUCUGACCACUGAGCUUAUUGUGAGAAAGGUCCAUCUCUUCCACUCUCCCGCAGCUCCCUAUGCUUUCAGGUAUUCUUCCACCGAGAUCAUUAUCUUGCAAGUAGAUAAGAUUCAGUUCAGUGAGGUUCCCGAUGGAGUCAGGUAUUUGUCCUGUUAAUCUGUUUCCUGAUAAGUCCAAUCUGUGCAGGUUUCGGAGCCCUCCAAUUGUGGGAGGAAUCAGACCGGUCAGAUGGUUAUCGCUCAAUGACAGUGUCGUGAGGUUGAAAAGAUUUCCUAUUCCUGUGGGUAUGGUGCCAGAAAUAUGGUUCGA